UACAGAGGUCUCAAGCGUUGUUCGGAUUCAUUGGGCGUAAAGGGUGCGUAGGUGGCGCCGUAAGUCAGGUGUGAAAUUUCGGAGCUUAACUCCGAAAACUGCAUUUGAUACUGCGGUGCUUGAGGACUGGAGAGGAGAGACGUGGAAGUUCAACGGUGUAGCAGUGAAAUGCGUAGAUAUCGUGAGGAAGACCAGUGGCGAAGGCGGGUCUCGUGGACAGUUCCUGACGCUGAGGCACGAAGGCCAGGGGAGCAAACGGG
rnacentral:rRNA from 1 species